GAUUGAUUGUUAGGUUGAAAUUCGGUGAAUUUAUUUUAUCGGAUUUCGGUGAUAAUUUUUCUGAAUCGAAUCGGACGGCGGAGAUUUGAGGAGAGGGAUGGGUAGAUAGAUAGGUGAAAGUUGAAUCGGUUUAAGAGAUUGGUAAGCGAAAAUGCCAGGGUUAGCGCAGAGAAAUGAUGAGCAAAAUGAUAAUGAAACGGCGGUGUUUAAUGCUUCUAGUAAAUCGAUUUCGAGUAAUGGGUUUUGGUCAAAGCAUCGCGAGGAUAUAAGCUACAAUCAGCUUCAGAAGUUCUGGAGUGAGCUAUCACCUCAAGCUCGGCAGAAGCUUUUAAAGAUUGACAAACAAACUCUCUUUGAGCAAGCUCGUAAGAACAUG
rnacentral:misc_RNA from 1 species